AUGGCCUACCAAGCCGACGAUCCAUAGCUGGUUUGAGAGGAUGAUCAGCCACACUGGGACUGAAACACGGCCCAGACUCCUACGGGAGGCAGCAGUGGGGAAUCUUAGACAAUGGGGGCAACCCUGAUCUAGCCAUGCCGCGUGAGUGAUGAAGGCCUUAGGGUUGUAAAGCUCUUUCAGCUGGGAAGAUAAUGACGGUACCAGCAGAAGAAGCCCCGGCUAACUCCGUGCCAGCAGCCGCGGUAAUACGGAGGGGGCUAGCGUUGUUCGGAAUUACUGGGCGUAAAGCGCACGUAGGCGGACCAGAAAGUUGGGGGUGAAAUCCCGGGGCUCAACCUCGGAACUGCCUUCAAAACUAUUGGUCUGGAGUUCGAGAGAGGUGAGUGGAAUUCCGAGUGUAGAGGUGAAAUUCGUAGAUAUUCGGAGGAACACCAGUGGCGAAGGCGGCUCACUGGCUCGAUACUGACGCUGAGGUGCGAAAGCGUGGGGAGCAAGCAGGAUUAGAUACCCUGGUAGUCCACGCCGUAAACGAUGAAUGCCAGACGUCGGGCAGCAUGCUGUUCGGUGUCACACC
rnacentral:rRNA from 1 species